GGGACUAUAGCUCAGUGGUAGAGUAUUUGCUUUGAAAGCAAAAGGUUCCAGGUUCAAUCCCUGGUAUCUCCA